UUUGGGAUAAAUAACAACCCAUAACCUUAAUGUCAUUAAGCUUUUCAACCAAUGAGUUUCAAACCAUAAAUUUCUUCGUGAGAAAAAUCAACUACUCUUGGUAUUUUUAAACAGUUCAAGUUAGAUGCAAAAGCAUUAGUUUGGUUUCAUAAUUGAAACUUUUUAGCUGAAUUUGAUAAAGCUCUUGGGGUCCCUAUAUCAUGUGUUGAAUAUAAAGAUGAGGUGACAUGUAAAGUCUUAAGUGUUCUUUAGUCAUGAUUUUCAAUAGUUAGUUAUUUGUGGCUGGCUCCGACCAUUAGAUCUGUAUGGGCCUAUGCUUUUGACCAAUGAGUUUCAAACCAUAAAUUUCUUCGUGAGAAAAAUCAACUACUGUUGGUAUUUGUUUUAUACACAGUUCAAGUUAGAUGCAAAAGCAUUAGUUUGGUUUCAUAAUUCAACCUUUUUAGAGGCUGAAUUUGAUAAAGCUCUUGGGGGUCCCUAUAUAUGUCAUGUGUUGAAUAUAAAGAUGAGGUGACAUGUAAAGUCUUAACAGAUCUCAUGGUUUUCAUUAGUUAGUUAUUAGUGGCUGCCUCUGACCAUUAGAUCUGUAUGGGCCUAUGCUUUUCUCAUUGUUUGUUGUUUGGAUUUGUGAGUUUUCCAGUUGUAAAGGUAGUAGAGUACUUAUUCUAUUCUGUUU
rnacentral:lncRNA from 1 species